GGGCACAUGGUGUAGUUGGUUAUCACAUCCGCUUAGCAAUCGCUGAAGGAUUUGUCAAUGCGGGGGGUGCUGGGUUCAAUUCCCAGUGUGUCCA